rnacentral:lncRNA from 1 species
CCAAAAGCCAUCGAAAGUGUUUCUGAAAUAAAUCCCUCAUCUUCAUUGUCUUUAAAUAAUUCCCCUUCAGAGGCAUCUUCCCAGGUUAUGGUAUCAACAACAACAGGUUCAAAUACCUCAACUCAAAAUAAAACUGGAGUACCUUUCCUAAGAUCUUGUCCAAAGUGCAAUAUUCAAUUCAGUCUUUUGGAUCCUUUGAAAUACCACAUGAAGCGUUGUUGCCCGGACAUGAUAAAUAACUUAAUGGAAAGUGUUAAAACAGAACUUUCAUGUGCCGAAGACAAAACUAAUACUGGUUCAGAGAAAGGAAAAUUGAUCAUGUUAGUUAGUGACUUUUAUUAUGGAAGACAUGAAGGAGCCAUGGAAGAAGAACCGAAGACUUACACAACCUUUAAAUGCUUCAGUUGCUUGAAAGUUCUUAAAAAUAAUAUUAGGUUCAUGAACCAUAUGAAGCACCAUUUGGAACUCGAGAAGCAGAACAGUGAGAGCUGGGAAAACCACACCACCUGCCAGCACUGCUACAGGCAGUAUCCCACGCCCUUCCAGUUGCAGUGCCACAUUGAGAGUACUCACACUCCCCAUGAGUUUUCUACCAUUUGCAAAAUCUGUGAAUUGUCAUUUGAAACAGAGCAUAUUCUUUUACAACAUAUGAAGGAUACUCAUAAACCCGGUGAAAUGCCAUAUAUUUGCCAGGUUUGCCAGUUUAGAUCUUCAACAUUUUCUGAUGUAGAAACUCAUUUUAGAGCAUCCCAUGAAAACACGAAGAACUUGCUGUGUCCAUUCUGCCUCAAAGUUAGUAGAAUGGCAACCCCCUAUAUGAAUCAUUACAUGAAACAUCAGAAAAAAGGAAUUCAUCGUUGUACAAAAUGCAGGCUACAAUUUUUGACCUGCAAGGAGAAAACAGAUCAUAAGACCCAGCAUCGUACAUUUAUAAAGCCUAAAGAACUGGAAGGAUUGCCUCCUGGAACAAAAGUUACUAUUCGAGCUUCAUUUGGACCUCUUCAGCCAAGACCAUCAAGUACACCAUCCAAUUGUGCUCCAAGUACUUCUUCUCUUCAAGUCUUACCUCCAAAGUCUAAAAGCACAACUGCUAAAAAUCUCACAAAAUCUAAUGCAAGUAAAUCUAAGACAAGUAAGCCUAAUGCAGCUGCCUCUGCUGCAAGUAAACCCAACACAAGUAAACAGAGUGGAGGUGGAGUUACAACUAAAAGCAAAGCCAAACACUCUUACAAGCAGAAAAGACAACGCAACCGAAAAAAUAAAAUCAGCAUAGCUUUGAAAAACUUAAGGUGUCGUCGGGGAAUUCACAAGUGCAUUGAAUGUCAUUCCAAAAUAAAGGACUUUGCAAGCCACUUUUCUAUAUAUAUCCACUGUAAUUUUUGCAAAUACAACACUAACUGUAACAAAGCCUUUAUAAAUCAUAUGAUGAGUUCUCAUAGCAACCACCCAAGUAAACGGUUUUAUAUUUUCAAGAAGCAUUCAGGAAUUCUCAGGGGCAUUACUCUUGUGUGCCUUAAGUGUGAUUUCCUAACUGAUUCUUCUGGCUUAGACCGUAUGGCUAAACACUUAAGUCAACGUAAAACUCAUACUUGCCAAGUUGUAAUAGAGAAUGUUUCCGAAAGUACCUCAACUUCUGAACCCACUUCUGACGGCUUGUUGAAAUAGAUUCCUGCUCUAUGGAGCUCGUGCAACCUGGUGCAAGACAAGUUGGAAUUUCCUAAGUUCAAAGUUCUGAAGUGUUUUCUUACACAAAGGCAGUUUCCUAAGUUCAAAGUUCUGAAGUGUUUUCUCACAUGAAGGUGGUUAAACAAAGUUCAUGACAUUCAGCUCUUUUCAGCUUUCAGAUGGCACUAGAUUCUUAUUCCACCUUAUCUUUGUGUCAGGUUAACAUGUCCUAACGUGUGUUUUUUUUUCCUCUAGUUGACUUUCUCCAAAAAUAACUUUUGUUGUUAUGAUCUUUUCUUGCUUUGCUUAAAAUAAUUUGUGUUUUUUUCUCCUGUACUUGCCUUCUGAAUAUUACAUUCCAAAUGACAUGGCUGUUCAUCUUUUUUGUCUGUUUUGUCUGCUUUCUUAAUUUCUUAUAAGUCUUACAUUUUUAGGUCAGAUAGAUGUUUUUUCCCUCAUUCUUUUGUCUGUCAUUGUUCUAUUUUUUUUCCUAUUUUUCAGAUGCAGAAGCAACACAGAAAUUUCAAAAAAUGUCCAGUGUACUCCUGGACAGUGUCCCCCUUCGACGGACACAACUGAUGCCUGUUCUGUCUUUCCAAGGAAUGUGAAUUAUUUGACUGUGAGACUUCUUCUAGUUUGUGGCCUUAAGGAAUCAGAUCUUGGGGAGAGUCCCUUCCUACCUGACUGGCCUCCCAUAAUGCUGAUGCUGAUUUGGCCAGAGAUGACCUCAAGGCCCACCAAAUUGAGCACAACUCCCCACUGGGGGCUUUCAUUCUUGAUCUUAAGCUUAUGGGUUGAUUCUAACCAAGAAAAGCCCAUCAAAUCAGUGCUUCAACAUCCAAGUUGAAGUUGAAUCAUUUUGGCUGCUGCCCUUUAAUCUUCCUAUAGCAUGCAUGCAGUCUAAAGAAAAUGAAAUUUCUGUUGUAUAGAGAACCAAGAUUACUUUUAUGUUUUUGGAAAAGUGAACUUUAAAUUUACAGUUCCAAAGUAACAACUAUUCACAUUGUCAUUUAAAGUUUUAUCCAGUAUUAAUCCUAGGAGUUUUCAGCAAUACUAAUAUAUAGAUUUUUUAAUUUAAUUUUUUUCAUUAAAUUUUAGUAGCUUGGUGUUAUGUUGUUCUUCAUCAAGUUUAUUGAUGUCCGUUUUGUUAUGUCUAUUUUUGUACUCUUCUCUUUAAAGCUUUUGUUUUGUGUUUGUUUUGUUUUUGUUAAGAACUCCAAUAAUUUUCUUUAUAAUUCUCCACAGAUUUCAUGUGGCUACCAACUGGUAGCUUCUUAAUUUUGAUACUUGUUCAGCUCAUUAGACAUUAUUACAUGCUCUAUCUUGGGACUUUCAUUAACAUCUUGGGGAUUGUGAGUUCAAAGACAUAAAGAAUUGGCAAAAACUCCUCUUUCAGACCUUAAAACAAAUUUUAAAGUUACAUUUCUGAUUAUCUAAUACAUAAUAUCUUCUUAGCCAUUAAUGUAAUUCCUUUGGAUAAAGAUAAUAUAUUCAAAAAUAUUGGGACCAAAAAAUGCACUUGUUUCUUGCCCAUAUAUAUAUAUAUAGAUGUAUAUUUUUUUUAAUUUGGUGUUUGUUUAUUUUGGUUACAUUGAAUAUAGAUUUGCUGAACAGUUUUGAUGUUACUUAUUUUUUUAAUAAAAUUUGUAUUGUUAAAGGGCCUUGAGAAUUGUUUUCUAAUAAAUAACUUCAUAUAAAACUGUAGAAUGUAUCAUAUAAGUAACUAGAAAGAUUGCUUUGCUUCUCACAUGGAAGCCUGAUUGCUUGGCCUACAGAUCAAGAACAUUAUCUAUUGAAUGCAUCUUGCACUUUUUCUCCCAGCAUAUUUAGAAGGUCACUGUUUAUAUUUUAUUAAGUAAUUUCUUGAACAUUUUUCCUGCAUUAUUGGGAAUUAAACUCAAAGGCACUCUGCCACUGAGCCACAUCCCCAGCCCUUUUUAUUUUUUACAAUGAGACUGGGUCUUGCUGAGUUGUCAAGGCUGGCCUUGAACUUGUGAUCUUUCUGCCUUAACCUCCCAAGUAUCUGGGAUUACUGGGGUGCAUUACUACACCAGGCUACUUUCUUGAACUUUAAAACCUAGCAAAAGCCCGCUUUGUGAUCUUAAUAAACAUAAAGGGGAAAAA